GCAGGACUCUUUGUAGCAGGUGUAGUAUUCAAGAUAGAGGCAGGGAAAGUUUUCUCGAAUGGAACUGCAGUUUCUAAUUGAAUUCUCUUCUUUCCAAGCGGGACUCACUUGUAGCAAGCGUAGUUUUCAAGAUAUAGUCAGUGCAAGUUUUCCCGAAUGGAGCUGCAGUUUCUAAGCGAAUUCUCUUCGUUCCAAGCGGGACUCGUUUUGACGAUAUAGGAAGGGGAAGUUUUUGCGAAUGGAGCUGCAGUUGCUAAGCGAAUUCUCCUCAUUCCAAGCGGGACUCACUUGUAGCAGGCGUUAUUUUCUUUUUUUUUUUCUUUUUUCUUUUUUUUCGGAGCUGGGGACCGAACCCAGGGCCUUGAGCUUGCUAGGCAAGCGCUCUACCACUGAGCUAAAUCCCCAACCCCGCGUUAUUUUCAAGAUAUAGACAGGUCAAGUUUUCGCUAAUGGAGCUGCCGUUUCUAAGCGAAUUCUCUUCGUUCCAAGUGGGACUCACUUGUAGCAGGCAUAGUUCUCAAAAUAUAGGCAGAGAAAUUUUUCGCGAAUGGAGCUGAAGUUUCUAAGCGAAUUUUCUUCAUUCCAAGUGGGAUUCGCUUGCACCAAGUGUACUUUUCAAGAUAUACACAAUGCAAGCGUUUCGCAAACAGAAUCGCAGUUUCUUGGCAAAUUCUCUUCGUUUCAAGCGGAACUCAUUUGUAGCAGGCAUAGUUUUCAAGAUAGAGACACAGCGAGCCUUUCGGGAAUGAAAUUGUAGUUUCUUUGCGAAUUCUCUUUGUUCCAAACUGGUCGUGCUUGUAGCAAGCAGAGUUUUCAUGGUAUAGACACAGCAAGCAUUUCGCAAAUGGAAUUGCAAUUUCUUGGCAAAUUCCCUUUGUUCCAAGAGGGACUCGCUUGUAGCAAGCAUACUUUUCAAGAUAUAAACAGAGCAAGAGUUUCUCGAACAGAAUCACACUUUCUGGGCGGAUUCUCUUCGUUCAAUGCAGGUUGCGUUUUUAAUAAGCGUACUUUUAUGAAUACACACAAAUCAAGCAUUUCGUGAAUGGAAUCACAGUUUCUUGGCAAAUUCUCUUUGUUCCAAGCGGGUCAUGCUUGUAGCAAGCACAUGUUUUAAGACGCAGCAAGCACUUCAAGAACGGAAUCAAAGAUUUUUGUCGUUUUCAAGAUAUAGACACAGCAAGCGUAUUGCGAACGGAAUCACAGUUUCUUGGUGAAUUCUCUUCGUUCCAAGCGGGACUCACUUGUAGCAGGCGUACUUUUCAAGAUAUAAGCAGGGCAAGUGUUUCACGAAAGGAAUCACAGGUUCUUGGCAAAUUCUCUUUGUUCCAACCAGAGCCCUUGUGUAUCAAGUGUACUUUUCAUGAUAUAGUCACAGCAAGUGUUUCACGAACAGAAUGGUAGUUUCUUGGCGAAUUCUAUUCGUUUCAAGCUGGUUGUGUUUGUAUCAAGCAUAUGUUUUAAGUUAUAGACACAGCAAGCAUUUCACAAACGGAAUCAAAGUUUCUUGGUGAAUUCUCUUUGUUCCAAGUGGGAUUCGCUUGCAGCAAGCAUACUUUUCAAGAUAUAGACACAGCAAGCGUUUCACGAACGGAAUCGCAGUUUCUUGGUGAAUUCUCUUCGUUUCAAGUGGGACACACUUGCAGCAGGCAUAGUUUUCAAGAUAUAGACACAGCAAGCAUUUCGCAAAUGGAAUCGCAGUUUCUUAGCGAAUUCUCUUUGUUCCAAUAGGAACUCGCUUGCAGCAAGCAUACUUUUCAAGAUAUAGUCAGGGCAAGCGUUUCACAAAAGGAAUCGCAGAUUCUUGGCAAAUUCUCUUUGUUCCAAUAGGAACUCGCUUGCAGCAAGCGUACUUUUCAAGAUAUACUCAGGGCAAGCGUUUCAUGAAAGGAAUCGCAGAUUCUUGGCGAAUUCUCUUUGUUCCAACCAGGACUCUCGUGUAUUAAGUGUACUUUUCAUGAUAUACACAUAGCAAGCGUUUCAAGAAAGGAAUCGCAGUUUCUACACGAAUUAUCUUCAUUCAAAGCGGGAGGCGCUUCUAGCUGGUGGGAACUUUAAAGUCCACCCCCACAUUAACAUACUUUCUCAAACAAGGCCACAGCUCCAGUAAUGCUAUUUCCUGGGGCAAGUAUAUUCAAACUAGUAUAUUCUACUCCCUGGUCCCCAUAUGAUUGUUCAAACCCAUAUAUAUUUGGGGAACACAUGUAAGUAUAGCAUAAUGCAAAAUACAUGCGCUCCAACUUCAAAAGUCCCCAUUACCAAUAGCAGUCACAAAAAUGUUAAAACUUCAAAUUUCAAAGACUCUUUGGAAAUUCGCCCAAUCCUAUAAUUGUAAUCCCCUUUAUUUUCAAAAACAAGGAGCCCAUAAUAAACCUCCAGAUUCACAGGAUAUACUUCACCAUUCCUAAAUGCCAUUGUGAGGAAGUACUAGACCAAAAGAAGACCCAAAGCCAGCUGGGCAAUCUUCAAACUCUGCAUUUCCAUGUCUGAUAUCAAAGCUUUCUAAAAGUCCUUUCUGCUUUAUUCAUUACAGCACUCUUCUUUCUCUUUGGCUGGUUUUAUUCCCAGAAGGCAGUUUUCCAGAGCAGGUAUUCAAUAGCUCUGACAUCUCAAAAUCUUGGGGCCUUCAAGGUAACUUCAAUAUAACAGCUUGUUGUUCCAAUAUCUCAGAUUCACAGAUUAUCUUCUGCACUCCUCAAAAGAAAUUGGGUCACUUCUCCACCUCUUCCCUCUAUAGCACUCUAGGUUCUGGUUGAUUUCAUUCUACUACUGCAUCUGUUCUUUCUACUCAUCCCAUGGGACAAGCAUCUUCAAUAAAUUAGAAUCUUCUGCUGUAACAUGGCUUCACUGUUUUCCUCUCAUACACUCCCUUCAUGGUGUGACUUCUUAGCUGAUGCACGACACCUUCAGGCCUUCGAAAACAAUUCUACCUGGAUGGUUCUUGCAUAUUAUCAAAUCCAGCUAUACCACAAGGUACAACCUCAGCUAUUUCUGGAACAUGGAUUCUUUGUCAUCUCAAAAAACACUUACGAGAAGAUUUUUACCUCAGUGAUACUGGUUUCUUCUUCAUUACUGCUAAUUUUUUAACUACAGAUAACCAGCGUUAAUUGUCUCAGUAGUCCCUUCUAUCCUUGCCUCUAAAGCCAGAGCCACAUGACAAAGUGAGUUCUGCUGUUUGGUGGGGCUGGAACAUGUUCUCUUCUAUUAGAUUAUCACCAGGUUUCUAUUUUUCAAUGACCUAAGCUUGGCUGUCCUGGAACUUGCUCUUAGAUUAACCUUGAACUCAGAGAUGUGAAUGACUCUGUCUCCUGAAUGCUGGGAUAAAAGGUGUGUAACACUUUGCCCGAACCUAAGGUUCACUUUACUUUAAAACUUGAUGCCUUGAACCAGAAAUCUGCCUGACUCUUAUCUCCUGGGAUUUAAGGCAUGUACCACCAUGCCUGGACCUAUAAGUAUUUCCUUCUAGAUCUUAAAACCAGGUAACAAUAAUGCUUAACAUGAUAUGAUACAGUUCUCCUUUGUACAACUGCAAAUCCAUAAGUAUAGCUGAAUAACAUCAUCAUUCCUUUAAAACCAUUUAAUAUUCUUCAUCACAGGAUUUAGCUUCAUUCUUCUUCCUUGUGAGUCUUUUUCUGUUUGAACCUUACAUUUCAUAUUUUCCUUUGUACGUUUAUUAUGCUUGAUCAAAACAAUCAUCAUGAGAGUAAACCCAGGCCAAAGGCUAUGCUGACUUUUCUGAGUACUCCUUUGUCAGUGCAAUUAAUACAAACUUUUUAACCUUAGCCUGAAGGACACCAUUCAGACAAUGGCAAAAGGCAGCAACAUUCUUCAGCAAAACAUCAUAAAAUCUAUAUACCAAUUUCAAAUCACCCUCAGUAUAUAUGUGUUCCAUAUUCCUACUAGGAUGGCCCCUUAAGUUCCUCUUAACACAUGUAUAAAUCCAAAGUCUAAAAAUCCACAUUGCUCCAAACAAAAGCAUGGUCAGACCUAUCAGAGCAAUACUUAUGUCCAGGGUUCCAACUUCUAUUGUAGAAUUUCCAUUGCUAAGAAGAGACACUGUGACCAAGGCAACUCCCAUAAUGGCAAAUGUUUAAUUUGGGCCUGGCUUGUACUUUCAAAUGUUUAGUCCAUUACCAUCAUAAAAGGAAGCAUGUCAGCAUGUACGCAGGCAUAAUGCUGGAAAAGGAGUGAGAGUUGGGCAUCUUCAUGAGAAGACAGAGGAAGAGACUGUCUUCCAGCAGAAUAGUAGGAGGGGCUGUUUUUUACUGGCUGGAGAUCAAAAGACCACCAUGAUAGUAAUUCAUUUCCUUCGAAGAGAACUACAACAAAGAACCCAGAUCAGCAGAAGGAAGAGUUUUCCAACUGACCAUGGAGGAAUAUCUUAUACCAAUCUUCCUAGAUUCCUUUGAGUUGAAGCAUACUGAAUACUCUACACCAUGACCCCCAGAAACUUUCUUGUUACUGAUGUUUCCUGCCGUUUUUGUUUGUAAGACAAAGUCUUGGCAGGCUUGGGACUUACCAUACAGACCAGUCUGGCUUUGAACUCCUAGACAUCUGCUUGUCUGCCCCCAGAGUGCUGGAAUUAAAGCAAGAACCACCAUGUUCCUUC